rnacentral:tRNA from 1 species
GCCCAGGUGGCGAAAUUGGUAGACGCACCGUCUUCAGGUGGCGGCGCCGUAAGGUGUGAUGGUUCGAAUCCAUUCCUGGGCAC